UCGGGAAUUUUGGGCAAUGGGCGAAAGCCUGACCCAGCAACGCCGCGUGAAGGAUGAAGUAUUUCGGUAUGCAAACUUCGAAAGAAUAGGAAGAAUAAAUGACGGUACUAUUUAUAAGGUCCGGCUAACUACGUGCCAGCAGCCGCGGUAAUACGUAGGGACCAAGCGUUGUUCGGAUUUACUGGGCGUAAAGGGCGCGUAGGCGGCAAUUCAAGUCAUCUGUGAAAUCUCCGGGCUUAACUCGGAACGGUCAGAUGAUACUGCUUUGCUAGAGUGCAGAAGGGGCAAUCGGAAUUCUUGGUGUAGCGGUGAAAUGCGUAGAUAUCAAGAGGAACACCUGAGGUGAAGACGGGUUGCUGGGCUGACACUGACGCUGAGGCGCGAAAGCCAGGGGAGCAAACGGGAUUAGAUACCCAUGUAGUCCCUGAGCGGGCUGGCAAGGCGCAU
rnacentral:rRNA from 1 species